CGGGAACGGGUAGAGUAACUACACGUACGGAACGGUCGUCCGCGUCGUGGGGACAACCAGCCGAAAGGUUGGCUAAUACCGCAUGAGUUCUACGGAAGAAAGAGGGGGACCCGCAAGGGCCUCUCGCGAGCGGAGCGGCCGAUGACUGAUUAGCCUGUUGGUGAGGUAACGGCUCACCAAAGCAACGAUCAGUAGCUGGUCUGAGAGGACGACCAGCCACACUGGGACUGAGACACGGCCCAGACUCCUACGGAAGGCAGCAG
rnacentral:rRNA from 1 species